UUCGUCGAAGAAAUAGAUAGUUUCAAGCAACUUAAUGUUCACUAUGAAGCAAACUUUAAUAAUUUGUUAUAUUGUUUUAUUAUUGGCUGUGAUUGUAACAGCACAUCAAGAUCAUUUUGCUGAAAAACAUCAUGAAAUUUCUUCACAUGGAAAUAAAAGAUUUUUCAAAUGGUGGGGUUGUUGCCCUUGUGCACGCCCCACAACUACAAUAAGUACUACAUCUACAACAACUCCAAGCACCACAUCUACAACCCCAAGUACUACAUCUACAACAGGGAGUAGUACUUCAAGCUCAACCACCGCUUCAACUUAAUAAAGAAGCUAAAAUAAGCUGACAUAUGCUAAUGUUAUGUGCAUACAUUAAAAUAAAUAUUCUAUUUCAAACAUA